AACCUUCCACAAUGGGCGAAAGCCUGAUGGAGCAACGCCGCGUGAGUGAAGAAGGUUUUCGCAUCGUAAAACUCUGUUGUAAGGGAAGAACAAGUACAGUAGUAACUGGCUGUACCUUGCCGGUCCCUUAUUAGAAGGCCACGGCUAAAUACGUUCCAGCAGCCGCGGUAAUACGUAGGUGGCAAGCGUUGUCCGGAAUUAUUGGGCGUAAAGCGCGCGCAGGCGGUCCUUUAAGUCUGAUGUAAAAGCCCACGGCUCAACCGUGGAGGGUCAUUGGAAACUGGGGGACUUGAGUGCAGAAGAGGAAAGUGGAAUUCCAAGUGUAGCGGUGAAAUGCGUAGAGAUUUGGAGGAACACCAGUGGCGAAGGCGACUUUCUGGUCUGUAACUGACGCUGAGGCGCGAAAGCGUGGGGAGCAAACA
rnacentral:rRNA from 1 species